UACGAAGGGGGCUAGCGUUGCUCGGAAUCACUGGGCGUAAAGCGCACGUAGGCGGAUUGUUAAGUCAGGGGUGAAAUCCUGGAGCUCAACUCCAGAACUGCCUUUGAUACUGGCGAUCUUGAGUCCGGGAGAGGUGAGUGGAACUGCGAGUGUAGAGGUGAAAUUCGUAGAUAUUCGCAAGAACACCAGUGGCGAAGGCGGCUCACUGGCCCGGUACUGACACUGAGGUGCGAAAGCGUGGGGAGCAAACAGG
rnacentral:rRNA from 1 species